AGAGGAGAGGAGAGGAGAGGAGAGGAGAGGAGAGGGGCUCAGUAUCUGUAGACUUCACUCUGCAAUCAACCUGUCUGUAUACAGGGGGGUUUAGAAUAAAAAUAACAGCAUUCUUUCUCUUGGAAUGAAGACAGGCUGAGGGAUUUGGGACUGCUCAACCUGGAGAAGAAAAGGCUCUGGGGAGAUCUUAGAGCCCCUUACAGUACCUAAAAGGCCUACAAGGGAGAUGGAGAGGGACUUUGGGCAAGGGCAUGGAGUGACAAGGGGGAAUGGCCACUGGAGGAGGGUGGGUUUAAGUUAGAUAUAAGAAAUAAAUUCUUUGCUGAGAGGGUGACAAGGCACUGCCAUGGGUUGCCCAGAGAGGUUAUGGACUCCCCACCCCUGGAGGUGUUCAAGACCAGGCUGGACAAGGCUUGGAACAGCCUGGGAUGGUGGAAGGUGUCCCUGCCCAUGGCAGGGGGUUGGAACUGGAUCAUCUUCAAGGUCCCUUCUGACCCAAACCAUUCUGUGUUUCUAUGAUUCUCUACCCUGAGAGGCUGCCAUGGCUCUGAAGCUCUAGGCUUCAGUCUUGCAAAUACAGUAAUUGAAUUGCAGACCAGUUAAAAUUACUGAGACAGACAAACCGUGGGCUGCUAAAUCCGCAGCAAUGAAGCCAGGAACAGCCCUGCUCAUUUCUGUGGACAACCACAACCAUUUCCCUUGCUUUCCUACAGCAAGAAGCUGUGUUGAUCCCACACGUAUCCAACACGCAGAUUCAUCUCAUGCUGCUUUAGACAUCCGAGCACAGCUCCCACGGCAAGAGUCCAGCUGCCCUGGGCUCCCUCUGGAGCCAAUGGGAACAGACAGGCACCUGGAGCAGGCCACCUUCCAGCCUCUUCCCUCUCAUUCCUUCUCCCUCAGGCAAAGUGUCUCCUCUGUCUAGCAACCUCUGGAGACUUUUUUUGUAUGGCAACAGAAUGGUCCAGGUCACGUCUAUCUACUGACAAAAGGAUAAUCAGUGCUGCUGGCAAAAAUCCUGUUCUUGCAUCUAUUCAUGUCGGUAUGAAAUGCCUGAAAUGUGUUCAGAAUGCCCUUUGCUGCUAAGUCAUUAAGUCGUCUGUAAAGGACAAGGAUUAAAUAAGGUACCAUCAGCUCGACUCGGGAGGGGAAAAAAGGACUGCGUAGGCGAUCUUGGACUAUUUUCAGCAGAGGUUUUGUGCUAGCGUGGGGUGGCUCUGAGGCUCACGAAGGAAAUUUGGGCACGAACGAAGCGUGAAGCCCUCGGCGGGCAGCAGGUGUUUGUCCUCAGCGCCCGCGGGCAGCGCGGCUCCGGCCCGAGCGCGGGCUGCCAGGAAGAGCUGCCCGCCUUGCUGAGCUUGGAUAAACAUUAGGAUCUAAUUUAUCAUGUGACAGGAAAGGAAACCUUCCUCCCCCCCACCCCGUUUUUAACAGCCUUUGUUUGAAUUUCAGUGUGUGGUUUUUGAGGUGUAAAGAGUGGAGAGAGAUUUAACCUGGGUCUCUGGACUGAUUGCUUUGCUGUCAGCUGAUGCAUGUGCGGCUCUUUGCAGACACAUCCACAAGUGUUACAUCUCAGUAAAUGACAUGGACAGGGAGCCAGACCUCUUGCUGAACUUACAAAAGAGACAUCACACUCAUUUAAUUAAAAAGAUCUGAGCUGCUGGUGCUCUUCAUGUCGGAUGGUAUGUCCUGGGUUACAUGCCCAGGAGAAAGAAGAAAAAGAAACUGUUUUCCUUGUACUACAAAGUAAAUAGGACUGAGAAAUAUUUUGGUAUUUGCAGAGCCUGGGAUUUCUGACUUUAUCAUUCCAUGUGUAUUUCGUGCACGGAGCAUUAUGCAAAGAUCUGGUUAUUCACUUUUUUCUCUAGAAUUUCAAGUCCUGGCCUUCCCCACUGAUCUGGUAGCAGCUUUGGUGGACUGCACAUGGGAGUAACAAUCAGCUUUAAAGUCAGGCCUUUCAAAUAUUUUUGGGGCACCUAAGAAACUCUGCUGUGUCCACAGUCUGGGCUCGGUGUGGCAUUCACAGUGUGGUGCCUAAGGAAGGUAUUUGCAGUAUGACACACGGGAGGCAUAUUCCUUAGCUAGGAUAUUCUGGACGUAGGUUCCCUCCUGGACUAAGCCAUCCUUUUGGGCAUGAAUAAAUGUUUACCUGGUUCUUUACAGUG